UCCACUUAUCAGUUAGUGCAUAUCAUG
rnacentral:piRNA from 1 species